CUAGUAGGAAUUAUAUCCCAACAAUUCAACAAGAACGAACAAAGUAGUGAUAUUCUCACUCUCAUAGCAAUACUACAAAUAAUAGGACAAAACAAUAUUUGUAAACACACGAGUGGUCCAUAUAGUUCUCCAGAAAUCCCUAAAAUAGAUCUUGCAUCUAGGUAUGCAACACCACAUGAAAGGCCCAUACCAUAUGUGAUUAUGAACCUUUAUUUAACUACAUAUAGAUAUAGUAGUACAACAAAUAUUACUGUCCGGCUGGGAAACGAAACCGUCAAUAUGCCACUGACAAUAUGCCGAUAUAAUUGUCGCAAACAAAACGUACUCACAUGUUAUCGAUACAAUUUCACCAAUAUUAACGGACAUAUAUUAUUUCAACAAUGUCGAUGCACACAACCUUUAUUUAAUAAAGAACUGAUGGCUUGCAUAGAGAACUUCUGAGAUAUUCAUCAGAGACAUAUAUGUAUACACCAUUUUUAUUAAGGGGUGGUGGUUAUUGAAGGUGGAGAGAACGGAAAUAUGGGAGUUGAUGGGAAAUUUGGAAGUGAAGUAAUAAUAGGGGGAGGCAACCUAUAUUCUGGCCAUAAAGGUGCGGGGGUCAGAGGAGGAAACUUCAGGUUCCGAGGAGGAAACUUCAGGUUAGGGAUCUUAGGCAGCUUAUAAUGAGGAAAGGUAGGGGCUAAGAGUUUUCGAGGAGCGGCGAAAGCUAAAUGUGUGCUUGAAAGUAAUGAAGCGACGACAAAGAUAGCUAUGACAAACGAUUUCCAAGUGGCCAUCUUAGUGUGUGGAAAUAAAGCUGAUGAAAUUUGAUGUGGACGAGAAGACCAGCCUAUGGUUAUAAUUUAUAACGUUGAUUCCAUUGGGAACAAGAACAACCCCAUUUAUUUUUGGUUUUAAAUGCUGUAAAAUUCUGUUGAAAAAUAAAAAUAUGUCAGAUGCCGGUAUGGGUCAAAAUUUAGAAUAGGAUAGUACUAAUUUGUAGUUUUCCAUUAAAAGUCUCGCAGUUGGUAGGUACACCUAUCAUUGUCUUGGUUUCUAUUUUGCUUUGCCAUGCCAUUCUUCACAAAGAGAUAUGCCAUUUUUCUCGUUCUUCUUGAAAAGGAAAGGUUGAUAGAAUAAUUAAUCUCAAAGAUAAAAUAGACUUUGGCUGGAAAGGGAUAAUGAAAUGAUUGAAAAAGGCGAUGCGGCCCUUUGUUGUUUUGUUGCCGAUAACAAUAUAUAUAUAUAUAUAUAUAUAUAUACAGAGAGCUUUCAUUGAGGGAUCCUUCAAAUAAGCUUAUUUGAGGGACACCCCUUGUAGGCCCCAUUCCGGAUUGUAUUUCACUAAUCCAAACCGUCUAUUUUGUACAUACUCAUUCAAAGAUCAUCUCAACAAAAAAUCACUUGAAUCCGAUAUUAUUUGACCACUCAAUUAAGCUAUUGAAAUUUUAGCAUUUUCUUGAAGCAUCGUAUUCUUUGAUUUUGUAAGACACAAUUGGAUGUCGAAAUGGUUUCCGAUUUGUCUAAUUUUUUGUAAGGAUGAUCUAUGAAUAAAGACCUAAAAAAUAGAUGGUUUGGAUCAUUGGGAAAAAAAAUUGUGGGGUACCCUAAGGGGUGUCCCUCAAAUAAAAUUAUUUGAGGGAUCCCUCAAUAGAAGGGGACUGAUAUAUAGAGAGCUUCUAUUGAGGGAUCCCUCAAAUAAGCUUAUUUGAGGGACACCCCCUUGUAGGCCCCAUUCCGGAUUGUAUUCACUAAUCCAAACCGUCUAUUUUGUACAUACUCAUUCAAAGAUCAUCUCAACAAAAAAUCACUUGAAUCCGAUAUUAUUUGACCACUCAAUUAAGCUAUUGAAAUUUUAGCAUUUUCUUGAAGCAUCGUAUUCUUUGAUUUUGUAAGACACAAUUGGAUGUCGAAAUGGUUUCCGAUUUGUCUAAUUUUUUGUAAGGAUGAUCUAUGAAUAAAGACCUAAAAAAUAGAUGGUUUGGAUCAUUGGGAAAAAAAAUUGUAGGGUACCCUAAGGGGUGUCCCUCAAAUAAAAUUAUUUGAGGGAUCCCUUAAUAGAAGGGGACUGUAUAUAUAUAUAUAUAUAUAUAUGUUAUAUUGUUGUUUGGGUGUGGUCUCCAAUUCCAAGUCAAGUCACGUCAAGUCAAUGGUCUCAAUUUCAAGCCAAGUUAAUAGACUCAAUUUCAAGCCAAGUCAAGUGGUUCCAAUUUCAAACUAAGUCAAGACAGACUCAACUUCACAAGAAAUUAUUAUUUACAAUGAAAGUAAAUAAAUGAAAGACCAAGGAGUUUUGGUUGGGAUUUCACUCAAAGGCGAACUAGUGGCCCAUGGAUUCUCUCUCUCUCUCUCUCUCUCUCUCUCUCUCUCUCUCUAUAUAUAUAUAUAUAUAUAUUUAAUACGAAGGAGUAAGAAGUCAUAUGAACUUUGGCCAAGUUUCUUGAAAAUGCCAAAUUGCCUAAAGAUCUUUAGGCAAAAAGAUCUGAUGAAAGUUCGAAGGCUAACUUUAUGGCUUUAUACUAUCUAUAUAAUAAUAUUUAAACUCAACAUGAUGCAGAUGGACUCAUUAGAAUUCUAAAUCACCCAACAUCAGUGGAUUAUGUUUAAUCAAAACUAGAAACUCCGGAAACCAUGAUGUCUCACCAGAAGAAAAUAAUGCCCUGUUGAAACUGGUGAGUUCGUACUCCAUUGGUACGCUGAGAAGGCUAGACAUGCUGCAGGUUUCUAAUGAAAAGAUUCUGGGAGACCAGGAGAGACUCAUGGCUAAGCUUAAGAGGCGCCAUUCUCUUCCUUCAGAGGCUUCCAGAACAUAAUGUAAUCUUUUAGAUUUUACAGAGCCUGCACCUUUAUUGCAGGUGGAAAAUCUAUCUGUUGUAUGCCUUCUUUCAUGUUAUAAUAAUUGUGCAAAUUCUUAAACUUGCACCUGUGGUUUUUACGUCUUUUCAAAAUGACGAUUUGGAACCUUGUGUCUUAUAGGUUCAAGUAACCACAUCAAAUCUCUCAAAUUACAUAUUUCAAUGCAUGUGAGCCCGGAACUUCUGGCUCGGGCUAAACACGACCUCAGAAUUUAUUCGCCCUUUUCAAAUAUGCAUGAAAUAUGAAUUGAGGAAAAGUCAUGAUAAUAUUGUAAUAUAGUAGUGAAGAGCAUUAACUACUAUAUAAUCAAAACUUCAGGUUCAGGACUUUUCAUAUAUUGGGAUCAAUGGGCUUCUAGCCCAGAUCAUAUAAUAUAACCAAAUAUGUGGGGAGCCUCAAUUCAUCAUUUGAGGUUUAUCCUGAUAUUAUCCAUUUCAUGGUGCAUUCUUAACAACCGGAAUUCACAAAAUAUAUUUCUUCCUUGAGGUGUCGAUUGUAACAGAAUUGAACUUUAUUAAAUUUAUCAUUUCUUAUGCCAAAGAAAUAUGUGGUGUACCACAAUUUGCAAUAAUACCUCAAGGGUUGCCCAUUUAACUAUAGGAACUUCAAGUUCUCAAUAUUGCCAUAUUUUAAACUUUAUGCCAAAAUCAUAUAUUCUUAUAGUAUGGGCAUUCAAUACUCUUAGAUUUUGAACUUCAGGCCAAAAUCACAUAUUCUCAUGGUAUGAACAUUUUUACAAUUUUCUGUAUGUAUUUUGGGACUUCAAGCACUUACAUAAUUGUCCAUAUUUUGAGAAACUUCUGGCAUCUCAUUUAAUUGCUCAUUUAUGAGUUUAAGGAACUGCAUGUUCCCUUUUGUAUAUAGUGACAAUUUACCCAAAAUGGUUAAUAUUUAUGCAUAUGUCACUAUUCAUGUAUACGAUACUAUUCAUCAAGUCAUGAAUACGUAUCUAUUCAUGUGUACAGUACAUUUGCUAGUACAGUUAUUAUUUAUGUGUACAUCACUUUUAACCAAUACGGUACUGUUGCAUCAUCAAGGAACUCUAGGUCUUUAUUUACAUGUCAAGGAUCAAGGAUCUUCAAGUCCGAUAUCUUGUUUACAAGUAUAGUAAACAAGAGAUUGUCAGCUCUCAUAUCAUUAUCAUCAUCAAGGAUCUUCAAGUCCUGAUGUAGUUGUAUGAUGGGGAUCAAAGAACUUUUGGUCCUGAUCUGUAUGCUGUAAAAACUCAUCAUACUGCACAAUUAAUCCAUAAAAUAAAUUGCUUGUAAAUAAAUUGCUUGAUGUAUGGACGUUAAUCCUGCGCCAUACCUUAAAUAAAAUUAAAUAUGCGGUAAAGUAAAUUCAUAAAUUAAAUUGCUUGCUGUACGGACGUUAAUCCCACACCAUACCUUAAAUAAAAGUAAAUGUGCAAUAAAGUAAAUUGCUUGUUGUAUUGGAGUUAAUUCCACACCAUACAAUAAUAAAGUAAAUGUGCUUGUAUGAGCACUAAUUCUGCUCCAUACUUUUAAAUAAAAGUAAAGGCAGUUGUGUGGACGAUAAACCUGCACCACACUUUUAAAUAAAUAUUGUUGUAUGGGUAAUAAACCUACACCAUACAAGAAAUAAAUUGUAUGAGUAAUGAACCUACACCAUAUAGUAAAUAAAAUAACUGUGGGAAUAAAACCACCACUAAAAAUAUAGGAAGUGAAACCGUCUAUUUUUAUUAGUUGUUAGUAAUAUGAAAGCAAAUAAGUAUAUUAUAUUACUAUCAACUUUUCAUAUCAAUAUUAUAAUUAUAUAUAUAAGAUAACCAUAUAUAAUAAAUUGACAGUUAUCGCUUCUGACAAUCGUGGAUUAUAUAUACUAGAUUAAGACUACCAUAUCAAAUAAUAUUCUAUAAAUAUCACUUGUGUAUAUACAUAUAACUUGAGUAUAUUGCCAUUUAUAUAUAUAAUAUGUUAUAUCAAAACCAAAAAGUUAAUGAUGCUUUAAUAUAAUAUAUAAAGCAACCAUAUAUCAAAAGGAAUCAUGGCCGACAAUGAAUCAUUGCAUAUGUGCAUGUUUUCAACUUUGUUGCUUUCACUCCUGCCAUUAGCACUCAAACUGUUUGUAUAAUCAGCAUAUAUAUAUAAGGUAGCAUUGAAUAAUGUAAAGUAUUAAUAAACGAAGAAGAUGAAAAAAUAGUGAGCUUAUCAUGUUUUGGUGGAUUUGCUCGUAUAUCUCUCUAGCAGACCACAGCUCCUUCUCUUUUCUUCCUUACAUCAACACAAUGAUCAGUAGUAUAAAUAAUAGUGCAACACAAAAAUUAUACAUGAGAGCUUCUCGUGCUAAUAACGUGUUAUACAAUAACUGGAAUAUGUGCGAAUAUUGAGCUGCACGUAAAGUGGAUGAGAAACAGUAACUUUUCCACUAUGUAAAAUAAUAGGGCUACAACUUUAGUGUUUACAAUAUAUGUAGCUCACUAAUUUUUCUCUCUUGGAGAAUUUCUCUCCUCUCACCCACUCUCUUUCUUUCUUUUCUUUCCUUCCUCUCUGCCUGACUCUCUUUCUUCUCUCAGUUGGAGUCUUCACCAAAGGAAGGGGGGAAGCCUUAUUUGUAGGCAGAAUUUUGUGGCUGCUUACUCAUUUCUCUUUGGCUUCACGUGGGUGUUGACAAGCAUCAUCAUUACUCUUCAAUUAAUUAGGUAGUGUGCUCUACCAUUUUGGCCUCCACAUUCUUGACUUUACAACAAGUAUAUAUUUUAAUAUGGAGGAGUAAGAAGUCACAACUUUGGCCAAGUUUCUUGAAAAGGACAAAUGGCCUAAAGAUCUUUAUAAAAAAGAUCUAAUGAAAGUUCGAAGGCCACCUUUAUGGCCUUAUACUAUCUAUAUAAUAUUAUUUAGACUCAACAUAUAAGGUAUAAUCAUAGUCUAAAAUAUCGAUAAUAUCGACGAAAUUAUCAUUUUUUCGAGUCACAAAUAUUUGGAACGUAUCCACACAUAUCGUAUAAAUAUCGAUAAUAUCAGAAAAUAUCGAUGUCGAUAAUUGUGCUCACUCACUACUACAAAAAAGGAAAAAGACGACGGUAAAUCACCGUCGUGUAUUCGAUUUUUCAAUGGUCGUGGAAUCCACCGUCAUCUUUUCCCUCAUAUACCACGACGCUAAAUCACCGUCGUUGUUAAAAUAUACAACGUCAUCAACAAAUACAAAACGACGUCUUUGUACUGCAAAAAGAUCUAAAAAAGCAGUCGAGGAUGAGAAUAGACGACCAACUCUCUAAAAAAACCGUCGUUAAAAAGGAAAAAUAUGACACAUAUUAAGAGAACAAGGCCGCAAGAUAGACAUACAACGACGGAAAUAAAACAACGACGCCGUUAAAUAUCAUUUUCACGACAAUAAAAAAUUUGACGUCUUUAAAUACAUUAGAAGACGACGUUAUUGAUACCUACUACGUCGCAUAUAUAAAAACAGCCGUCGUAAAAUUAAUUUUCCACUUCGAUUUUUCGAUAAAAGAUGACGUGGAAAUAGUUGUCAGUGUCAUUAUUUACGACGUAUGUAUUUAUUGAGUAGACGUUGAAAAACUAAACAACGUCGGUUACAAAUAUAUGAGAGUCGUAUUACAAAAUUUAUACGUCAUAUUUUCAGAAACAAACAACGACGAUAAAUAUUAGACGUUGUUAAAUAAAACAACGUCGGAAAACAAUAAAAACAGACGUGUUUAGUCUGCUAAAGUUCUAGAAAAUAGUCGAGGAUGAGAAUAGACGACCAACUCAAACAAAUCACCGUCGUUAAAAAGGAAAAAUAUGACACAUGUUAAAAGAAAAAGGCCGCAAGAUAUACAUACAACGACGACAACUAAAAUUUUACGCCGUUAAAUAUAAUUUACACGACAAGAAAAAAUAUGACGUCUUUAAAUACAUGAGAAGACGACGUUAUUGAAAUAUACUACGUCUCUUAUUUACAAACAACCGUCGUGAAAUAAAUUUUCCACUUCGAUUUUUCUAAAAAAGAUGACGUGGAAAUAGUUGUCAGUGUCAUUAUUUACGACGUAUGUAUUUAUACAGUUGACGUUGAAAUGCGAAACAACGUCGGUGGCAUUUAUAUAGUCGACGUUGUAUUUAUAUCUAUCAUCAUUACUCACGACGCACUUAAUAAUAUAGACGACGUUGAACUUCUAAACAACGUCGGUUCCAAAUAAAUGAGAGCCGUAUUACAGAACAUAUAGACGGCGUUGAUUAUGAUGAGAGCCGUAUUACAAAUAACGUCGUUUAAUUGUUAUUAGACGGCGGUUAUAAUGAAUUUCCGUCGGAAUUCAUUUCGUUCCUCUUCGUUUAUAAAAGAACUUGCGACGUGGAAAAUGUAUGAUGACGUCGUAUUUUUUAACGUUCAGAUUAUAUAUCUCGUUUUUUAGACGUCGGUAUUAUGGGAUUGGAGUCGUGUUAUUUUGAAUUACAUGGCGGUUCUUAAUCCUUCCCCGACGUGAUAUCCUGAUUAAUUGCUUCACAAUUGCGUCGUGGUUCUUCAUUGUUACGUUGCUUUAAGACGUCGGUAAAUAUGCUGAAUAACUGGUUCACAAUAACGUUGUGUUUUAUUUGAACGUAGAAAGUGAAGAAAUCACAUUACAAUAUAUUACAAAAUUAAUGUCAUACACUGCCAAUUACAUAAGCAUCAUUCAAUCCAUAUAUCUUCACACCCAUCUCGAAUAUUUUGACCGCCUAACUCACCCACCAGUUCAUCAAAUGUGUCAACAUUUGGCAUCCCUCUAGUAAAUGGCUCACACUCAAUUAUCACAUCACCUAAGACUUCAUCACCAAUAACAUCAUUAUAUUCUCUAUUAGGCAUUGAUAACACUACCGACCAACCACGAUGCAUCGGGUCGUCAACAAAAAAUAUUUGUUUGACUUGAGAAGCCAAAACAAAUUGGUCAUUCCUAUGUCCAAUUUUACUCAAAUCUACAAGGGUAAAUCCAAGUUCGUCGACUACAAGACCAGAACUAUCUAUCCAAUCACACCUAAAGACUGGGAUUGUAAACUUUUGGUAGUCAAGGUCCCAAAUUUCUUGAAUGACACCAUAGAAACCCAUAUUUGAGAGAAUUGGGUUUUUAUCCUUGGCACUAGCAACUUGCAUGGUAUGUGCAAGUAAAUAAACUCCACUAUUUUGAGUUGUCCGCACAUCAUCUUGUGCCUUGAUAUUGAAUUUAAUACCUUUAAUAAGAUAGCUCCUAUAUAAUGGCACUGACAUGUUUGGACCAGCUGCUAGCCACCUUAAAUUUUCUGAUACGCCAUGAUUGUCUUCCUCAAGUUCACUUUGAACCUGCAAAUUAAUCAUAUCUUAAUUCAAUCUAACAUAUAAAUAAGAAGAAAAUUAAAAGAGAAAUAUGUUAUUCAACAAUAUAUACCUUGAAGCGUAGCCAUUGAAUGAAAGUGCUAUUGUGCUUAUCCUGCAGCCACUUUGUUCUCUUUCUAAAUUUUGGAUAAGCAGUCUUGAUGUGAAUCAUAUGUUGCCUACAUGACACGAAAAAUUCAAGCAUUACGGUCCUAAAUAUAGAAGAUAAACAUAAGAAAUAAUUUAAAAUGGAAACUUAAAGAAUAAAGCUCAUACGUACUCGAUAUAAGGUAGGACUUCCUCCGUAUUCUCCAAGACAUAUAGAUGUGCUUGAUUCAACAGGUCCUGAUCAACUACGCUCACUGUGCAACCUGAUAAUGGCUUUGAAAGUCCCAUCUUUUGGCUUGAAGGCACUCCAACUGUACUAACAUCAGAUAAAUGCUGAGUACAACACUCUACCGCUUCUUCAGCUAUAUACCGCUCAGCAAUGCAACCUUCGGGACGAGUACGAUUCUGAACAUACCCCUUCAGCACUUUCAUAUAUCUUUCAAACGGAUACAUCCACCUAAAAUAUACUGGCCCACAUAGACGAACUUCUCUGACAAGAUGUACUACUAGAUGAACCAUGAUAUCAAAGAAUGAAGGGGGAAAGUACUUCUCAAGCAAACACAGAGUAACUACUACAUCUUCUUCCAACUUAUCUAGCUUGGAAACAUCAACAGUCUUUGCACAUAUAGCAUUGAAGAAGAAGCACAAACGAGUUAUUGCAUACCUUGCAGGCUUCUCCAAAACAGAACGAAUUGCCACAGGGAGCAAUUGUUGCAUUAAGGUAUGACAAUCAUGUGAUUUAAGGCCAAGAAGUCUUGAAUCUUGUAAAGAUACAAGAUUUUUAAUAUUUGAAGAAUAACCUUCAGGGACCUUCAUACCAUAGAAAGAAUUGCAAACCUCUCUCUUCUCUGCUCUUGACAAAUUCCAAGGCCCAGGAGGCAAACGAGUACGUCUUUCUCCAUACUCGGGUUGCAAAUCAGUUUUGACCCCCAUGUUCAAUAAAUCUAAUCGAGCAGCAAUCCCAUCUUUAUUUUUUCCAGGGAUCUCCAGCAAUGUACCAAUGAUACUAUCGCAAACAUUCUUCUCAAUGUGCAUAACAUCUAGGGCAUGCCUCACAGGAAGGUAUUUCCAAUACUCGAGAUCAAAGAAUAUUGAUUUCUUCUUCCAACAAACUCUGUCACCAUUUUCAACCAUAUGCAGCACUUCUUCUCCGGUUAAUGGCUCGGGAGGUAUGCCAUAUUCAGGUUUCCCAUUAAAAGCUGCACGUUGCCUCCUAUAUGGAUGAUUGAUUGGUAACCAUUUUCUAUGCCCAAUGUAACAAAUUUUGUGGCCAUUUUUCAACCUGUGACUAGGUGUAUCAUCGCCGCAUAUUGGACAAGCUUUAUAUCCUUUAACAACAGAACCAGAUAAGUUUCCAUAGGCGGGGAAAUCAUUAAUUGUCCACAUUAAUGCAGCUCUGAGUGUAAAGUAUUCUCCAUUAUGUGCAUCAUACACUCCUCUAAUCCCAACCCACAAGGAUUUUAAAUCAUCAAUCAAAGGCUCCAAGUAGACGUCUAUAUCAUUUCCGGGUUGUUUAGGACCGGAAAUCAAUAAGGUUAACAUCAUGAACUUUCGUUUCAUGCACAGCCAUGGAGGGAGAUUAUAUGUAACUAAGAUAACCGGCCAACAACUAUAUCUGCUACUUAGAGAACUGUGGGGAUUGAAUCCAUCAGAUGAAAGAGCCAAUCUCAAGUUUCUCGGCUCAUUACCAAACUCAGGCCAUUUAUCAUCAAGAAGUUUCCAAGACGGGGAAUCCGCCGGAUGAGACAUCUGACCGUCAAUUGAUUUUCUAGCAGCAUGCCACCAAGUCAAACUCUUAGCUGUCUCAUGUGAUUGAAACAUCCUUUUAAACCUUGGAAUUGGGGGAAAAUACCACACCACCUUCGCUGGCACACCCUCUUUCAAGAUUGAAUCUUUGCCUUCCUUCCACCUUGAGAUACCACAAGUAGGACAAUUAGUUGAAUCCUCAUACUCCUUCCUAUACAAGAUGCAAUCAUUGGGGCAUGCGUGCAUUUUCUCAUAACUCAGCCCCAAUGCACACAAAGUCUUUUUAGCCUCAUACAUGGAGGUUGGUAUUGUAUUUCCUUCUGGAAGCAAAUCGCCUUGAAGUAUCAAUAAUUCUGUAAAACAGACAUCACUCAUCCCAUGUUUUGCCUUCAAAUUAUACAACUUCACUAAUGCCGAUAACUUCGUGUACUUUCUACAACCAGGGUACACUGGUUGAUCUCCAUCCCCAAUCACAUUGGCAAACUCAUACGGAUCCGAACCAAAAUCACCAAAAUCAUUAUCAUCCAUAUCAAUUUCUUCAGACACAAAACUGUACCUACUAUGGCCAUCAUCUUCUUCAACAUUUCUACUAGCAUUAGUAGUUGCUUCCCAAGGUUCUCCGUGAAAUGUCCAAUUCUUAUAGCUUUGGUCAAUUCCAUUAAAGUAUAAGUGAUCCCUUAUAAUUCCAACCCCAAACAACUUCAAAUUAACACAUUUAACACAUGGACAACGGAUAUGUGUUGUAGUUAGAAGAUUUUCUACAGCAAAGUUCAAAAAUGCUUCCACCCCAAAUUCAUAUGCCUUCGAUCUUCUAUCCGAGUGCAUCCAUGACUUAUCCAUCUCCGACACUAUAACCUAUUAUCUAUAAUAAAGUGAAAAUACAGGCAAUGACCAUCACUAUAGCAGAUUAUAAAAUGAUCUAAUCGCAAGUAAUACACAACAGAGACGACGGGUUUUAAACAAAAACAGACGUAUUUGGCAUAUAUAGACGACGGAUUUUCAACAGACGUCGUCUAUUAUAAGUAAUACAAACGACGGUUUAUGAAAAAACCGUCGUGUAUAAGUAAUACAACGACGGUAGUUUAAAAAAAUCGUCGUGUAAUCGUCGUCGUAAGCCUUAAAAUUCGUCGUGUCUCAGUUUAUUUUCAAGAACACAAAACCCAUUAAGAACACAACAUAUAUAUGAAACCAAGCAAGAAACCAACAUAUACAUGAAACCAAGCAUGAAAACAAUAAAUCCAUUCCCAAUUCAACAUAACAGAUAAUCCAUGAACCCAUUAAACAGAAAAUCCAUGAACCCAUACCUAUAAGCACAUUAUUAACAGAUCGCAAAGCAUACACAUAAAACCCUUUAACAAAACAACCUAAUAUAACUCGAAUCGUUACUAGAAUCAUCACUCGAAUCCCCAUCUUCAUUAUCAGUUUCUUCCUUCGUAGGUACUAUUUGCUCCCCAUCAUUUUCUCCAUAGCGGAAAAUGACAAGAUCAAAUAAAGGUGUACUUUUGCUGGAAAUCAUUUGGAAGUUGGUGAUCUGUGUCUUUUUGUGUUGAUUUCCAGCAAAAGUACACCUUUAUUUGAUCUUGUCAUGAACCCAUUAAACAGAAAAUCCAUGAACCCAUACCUAUAAGCACAUUAUUAACAGAUCGCAAAGCAUACACAUAAAACCCUUUAACAAAACAACCUAAUAUCAUUCAAUGAAUUUACAAGGGGAAGAUAGGGUUUAUACUUACAGGUUGGACGAGCUCACAGAUUCGACGGAGCCUGGAGAGUGCAACUUUUAAUUAGAGCAGAAGUGAGAGAGCGAAAUGUUAUGUCGCGCGAAAUCUGAAAAUUUAAGGUUUCAGGGUUCGAAGUAUAAGAAUAAGAGCCAAAUCUAAAAAAAUUUAGGUCGCGCGAAAAUUUUUAGAGUUCGCGCGUUUUAAAACGUCGAAAGAAAAACCAAGGCGAAAGUUCUACACGUACCGACGUAAAUUUAAUAUUCCACGACGGAAACUUCAUUUUUCGGAUUAAGAACGUAAGGCCGUUCAUUUUGAAGCUUCAUUUUUCGGAUUAAUUUUAAAUUUAUUUUGAAUUUUUUAUAUAACGACGACUGAAAAACCACGUCGGUGUUAAGAAAUUAAAGACGUUGUAAAUUAUAUAAACCGACUUACAUAUUAAAAUGACGUCGUUUAAAGCGUAAACCAUGUCGUAUGUUUUUCUGUACGACGUAAAAUAUGUAUUCCACGACGCAACCACCGUCGUUAAAAAUUAAUACCCUAAACCCAUAAAACUAAAUUAUACAAUUUAAAAAAUUAAGUUUAUAAAAGGUUUUAUGGUUUUAAAGCCUAACAUAUACCCUAGACUACCCAAAAAUUAUACUUUAAAAAUAAACCCCAAUAAAUAACAACCCUAAUCUCUAAACCCUAGACUCUAAACCCUAAACCAUAAAACUAGAAGUGAUUUUAUGACUCAUCAAAACAAUUUUGUUUUGGAUGGUCAUUUUAAAUUUUUGUUAUUCAAAAUGAAUUUUUUCAAGGUUUAUGUGGAAGAAAAUAUAUCAAUGACUUCAUAGGAGUUGACUUUUCAAUUUUCUGAUUUAUUUUAAAUUUAUUUUGAAUAUUUUGAUAUAAAAAUAAUAAAAUAUUCUUACCACAACAACAAACCACGUCGGUGUUAAUAAAUUGUAGACGUUGUAAAUUGUAAUAGACUACUAAGUCGUUAAAAUGACGUCGUUAAAAUGAGAAACCAUGGCGGCUAUUUAACUAUACGACGUAAAAUAUAUAUAUCAACGACUUAACCGCUGUCGUUACAUAAACGUCGUCGAUGAUACCCUGAACCCUUAAGAAAUUGAAGAUGUUGUAAACCAUAAACGACUCAAUUGUUCAAAGAACGUCGUCUAACUAUAUUUUUACGUCGUAUUUGUUUAAAACACGAAACAACAAAAUACGACGGUUUGUGACUUUAUUAGGUCGUUGGAAAAGUAUUACACGUCGGUUAAGCAAUUUGUAUGUUUGUUUUUUUUUUAAUUUAAGAAAACCUCAACAAAUUUUUACAUUACAUAUUAUAGAGAAAAUUUGUACAUUAUACAUAAAUAUCAAGUGUUCAAUAAUUGCCCUGUUUAAUAAUUUGGAAAACAAACUCUGCCCAUUCAUUCCGGACUUCAUCAAUGGCUUCUUGGGGGUAUGAAGCUUCCUGGUUUCCCUUGGCAUACUGCAUAAACAAUGACUAUUAGGGUUUAUAAAUAAAAAGAAAUUCAAUCACAGACGACGAUAUUUUUCAUAACCGACGUAGUAUAUCCAUUCAACGACGUUAAUUUUACAUGACCGUCGUUGAUAAUACAAAAAACGACGUGAAAUGUAUGAAGGUAAUUUCUUCUUACCUUAUUCUCAAACCCCAAGGAAGGAUCCAUGAUGAUGUCCCUCAUGAAGCGCAUCACAUAAUACCCGCAUUCGACAUUGCUGGGUUGCUUUGGUGUGCCUGAGAGAGUUUUCCAAAUUACAUUUUUACGUCCUGCUCGGGCUAUGUGGGUAUUAUAUAUUUUUAAAGCACUGUUCACGAUGUUUUUCGCCUCUUCGUCGACCACACGAUGACCUGGCAGAGGAUCCAGAAAAUAGACGGUCUCCUUCUUUGCUCUUACAAUCAGCAAGAUCCAAUGACGGCUGCACAAAAUUAAUAUAAAAACGACGGUUAUUUACAAAAACGACGUAUUAUAGUAUUCACACGACGAAANNNNNNNNNNNNNNNNNNNNNNNNNNNNNNNNNNNNNNNNNNNNNNNNNNNNNNNNNNNNNNNNNNNNNNNNNNNNNNNNNNNNNNNNNNNNNNNNNNNNCGACGGUUUAUUUACAAAACCGACGUAUAAUAGUAUUUCCACACGACGAAAUAAAGUAGAUAACGACGACAUUAUAUAUUUAUCACGACGAUAAAUAAAUACCGACGUGGUUAGUAGUUUCAAACGACUAAAUAAAAUAAAACACCGACGUGGUUAGUUUAUAAUCUGUCAUUUAUUGAAAAUCAUAAAAACAAAAUCCUAAGGAGACUAACCCUGGAUUGUAAGGCAUCAUGAAAAUCUGUUCACCCGUCUGUCUUCUGAAGUCGAGCUGCUACCAGUCGUGAUCUUUCAGUUAUUGUGCCAGAGUUGGCACUAACUGUAGCAGGGUCGAUAAAGCCAACCAUGCUGCACAUAUUGGCUUGUUUCAAAACAUCGUGUAAGUACCUAAAUACAUAAAAUAAUAUAAACAAGUCAGCACAAACAAACAUGACGGUUAUGUAUAAAAAAACGACGUAUUAUAAUAUUUCACACGACGUACUGAAAUAGAUGAGGACGUUAUAAUAUAUUUAUCACGACGGUAGUUAGUUAAGACGACGUGGUUAGUUAGUUAAGACGACGCAAUAUAUAAACCAACGAGGUAUUAUUUUAGAAGUACAAACCUCAUAUAUACAGCCAAUACAGUAGCUCCAAUUUCUUCCAUGCCUGCAAAUUGUGUAAUAUCUUCAGGCAGGAGGAAGGUAUCGCGCUCACCACCAAACACCUCCUUAUUAAUUGUAAAUUGGAGUGUCUUAUCCUCAGGCAGGAGUGUCGUUUCCACAAAACGACAAAGGGUUUUUAAAGAAGAUGGCGCCUCCAUAUUUGAAUAAGCACCAACUUCAAUAACCUGUUUAAAGAAAUAAAAAAAAUGACAUGGUAAUUCAAUAAAGACGACGGUUUAAGUAAUAAAACGUUGUCUUAAAAGUAUUUAAACGACGGUGAAAAAACCGUCGUGGUAAUUCAAUAAAGACGACGGUUUUAUGAAUAAAGCGUCGUCUGAAACCAUUUAAACGACGGUGCAAAAAUCGUCGUUUAAAUAUUUUAUUACGUCUUAAAAAAAUUCCGCCGUCUAAGUUUUAAACAAACGACGGAUUAAAUAAAAAUAUCGACGUCUGAAAUUUUGAAAAACAAAUAAAAAAGGCAAAGUUAUGUGAACAUACCUUGUCGUCAUGCUUUUCUUCAUCUUCUUUCUCCUUUUCUUCUUCCUUCUCUUCAUCUCUUUUUUCUUCUUCCUUCUCUUCAUCUGGCUGAUGUUUCCCCAUUUUGGCAGUAUCAUCCUCCAAAUGUAGGGAUCUCACAUCACCUCCAGAGCAGCUAGCUUUGUCAGACAUUGGAUUUUUGGGGCUUUGGCUAAUUCUUGGUUUAAGCAUGCUUGGAUCAAAAUUGGGAAUUAAUUGGGAAAGCUGACUCAGGAAAUGCUCCCUCUCAGCCUCUACCAAUUGUUUUGUCCUAGCCUCCAUCCUUAAGGCCUCUUCCCUUGCCUUAGCCUCCAUCUUUUUAGUCUCUUCUUGAAGGAGAACUCUUAAACUGUCCUUCAAACGGUCGUCAAAGCUCACCCUCUGUGGUUUGGGAAAAUUGAAAUAUUGCCUUGGGGAAACACCAGCACCAACUCCCCUCAGUCUGCCUGGAUGCUCGGGGCCCAAAGCCAUGGUCAGCACAUCAUUGCUGCCAUCUACUCUGACUUUGCCUUCCGAGACUUGUUUCUGCAAUUCAUCCUAAAAAAAGAUAAACAAAAAAACACACGACGGUUAUUUAUGUACAAACGACGUAUUAUAUAAUUUCACACGACGCAAUAACGUAUAAACCGACAUUAUUAUAACUUAUCACGACGGUGGUUAUACCGACGUGGUUAUUUAUUUAAAACGACGAAAUGAAUAAACAACCGACGUCUUAUGCUAUAAUUAAAGAUAACAGAGUAGUGACUCCUAUUUAGACCGUUAACGACGUUUUUAAAAAAGUUUCGACGUGGUAAUAUCAUUCACACGACGCGAAAAUGAACCACCGACGUCUUAUGCUAUAAUUACAGAAAACAUAGUAGUGAUUCCUAUUUAGACCUUUAACGACGUUUUUAAAAACUUUUCGACGUGGUAAUAUCAUUCACACGACGCAAAAUAUAACAUACGACGUAAUAAGAAUAAUUCACAGUUUAAUACAAAUUUAAAACAGAGUGAUAGUAGGCUUACUAUUAAUUUUGCUUUCUCUGCCACCUUUGGAUCAGGGAUGUUACCAUGUUUGUCCUGUCUAGCUCUCUUCCAUAAGGUAGAUCGAUCAAUUUCUACCCCAGGCAUGGUUUCCUCCAAUUGAUCCUCCAAUCCAGCAUAUCCUUUUCGAGACAAUCGAUGAUUGUACUCGAGUUUCUCCCUAAUCUGUGCAUGUUGAGAAUGCACAGACUCAAAAUCUUUGGAUAGCCUUGAAGCUACAAAGGCAUCCCAUUGUGCUUUCUCUGUGAAUUUAUAUGUUUCAGGGGGUUGGCUUAAUUUCUCCCUGUCAUUGGUGUAUGGAAGGAUAUAAUGCCUCGUUAGUGUAGACUUGAAAUCCUUCCAUUUCUUGGAAGCAGAAGCUAAAACAGAGGUCUUGCCCCCUUGGCCUACGACAAAAGCCAUGUCAACUGCUUCCCAAAUCUGCUCCUUUAUAUCCUUGGGGAUUUGGGACCAUUUCUUGUCCACAAGUGGGAUCCUGGAGCGUGCCAACACACCAAUAUACGACUGCAUCUCAAUAUGUGCUUGGCCAACACCUUUCCCCCUUUUAUUGUACUCAACAAUUGGCCUCAGUUUCUGAAGCUUUCUCUUCACAACACGAGGCAUUGUGCUCAUACCUCGACCAGUCUUUGAAUCAUCUGAGAUUGUUGUCUGGCUGGUUUGUUCUGUCUCAGCAGAUGAUGAAGCAAACUUCAUCUUCUUCGAAGACUUCAUCUCCUUCGAAGACUUGUCUUGAGGAGCUACCAUUCCAAGCUUCUUGGAGCCAGAAUCCUUAGUUUGUUGUUGAGAAACCAUUUUAACAGACAAAACUGCAAGUGAAAAUAUUUCAGGAAAACAUUAAGAACACAAACGACGGUAUUAAAAAAAUACGACGUAUGAUAUGAUUGUAGACGACGCAAUGAAAUAAUCUCAGACGUAAUAAAUGUUUAAAACCAUUAUUUAUAUAACGUCGUGGUAUAUAUGUUCACACGACGUCAAUAGUAAUACACCGUCGUGGUAAACUAUUAUUUAUAUAACGUCGUGGUAUUUAUGUUCAUAUGACGUCAAUAGUAAUACACCGUCGUGGUAUUAACAUUCACACGACGUAAAACAAUAAGAUAUUUUGUCGUCUAUAUUAGAUACCAACCCUAGUUUCUUUUUCUUUAUAUUUUAUCAAAUAAGGGAAAAACAAAAACCAUUGUUCAGCGAAAUCAAACCUGCAAUUAAACAAGCAUAUAAAAAAAGACUAUUAUUUUAAAAACAACUUUGUCAAUUUUCAGACGACGCUAGAACAACUGACGAACCGUCGUGGUCUACCUUCGUCUUAUUUAGUUGAUGUAGUUGUCUUCAAAGUUGGAAACUUUCACUCUUUGUCUGUAUAUUUUAUCAAACUUGGAAAGAAGUAAAAUGAUUUUGGCCAGAAAAAAGGUAAAAAGAUUUUUCAAACAAAAAACGUAUGAGCAUGCAAAACAGUAACCAAAAUAGUGAAGAUGAAAGCUUACCUUUUGCGUGCAAUGAAAGCAAGAGGAAGAUGAUCGAUGUUUAAGUUCAGAGACGACGAAGAAGACGAGAGGAAGACGAUGAGAAACUCUGACAAUGCUCUGACAAGGAAAAAAGACGAAAAGGUUUCUCUGGGAGAUUGAAAUUUUUAAUCGGGUUUGGAAACAGUGCAUGUGUAAGUCGAAAAGUUGCUUACAUAUAAAACCAUUUCAAAAAAAUAAUACGGCGGUUACAUUUAACUACGUCGUUUUUAACUAAAACGACGCAAUAUUUUUCAUUCGACGUGGAAUCAUUUCAUUUAACGUCGUUAGGUUUAAUAUAACCGACGUGGAUUUUAAUUUUUAAAUUAUGAAUAGAAUUUUUUUUCCCGUGACCUUUCAGUUUAUUUUUCAAUUACAGUGCGUUAUAAAUAGAGUUUUUUUUCCGGAGGAAAUUUAAAACGAAGGAAAUUAAUAUUCUGCAAUAUGUAAAGUUUCUUUUUUGGAUGACAGAUUUAAAUAAAAUAAGAAUAUAAAAACAACAAAUGUGUAAGUCAAGUAGACGAAAAGUUGCUUACAUAUAAAACCAUUUCAAAAAAAUAAUACGGCGGUUACAUAUAACUACGACGUAUAAAUUACAAAAUACGACGGUACAUUUAACUUCGGACAUGGUAAAUAAAUACGACAGUAGUUUGUAGGUACCGUCGUAGUAAACUCAAAAAUUAAAGUACAUAAGUAAUAACUCGCGUCAUGGUAUAUUAUUUAACACGUCGUUUGUAUUAAUUUACCGACGUGGAUUUCUGUAAUAUACGUCGAUAAUACCGACGUUGAUUUUACAAUUUAAACGGCGGUUUUUUUGUAAGGACCGCCGUUGGUUUUAAAAAUUUAUUCUAUAAAUUUGUCGCUUUCAUUCAUUUUCGGUUUACAUUUAAGGUUCCAAGUUCUUCCUCUCUCAGUCUCUCAUGUCUCAAAGACAAUAAUUUGGAUGUUUUCUCAAAGAGAAAUUGAGCUUACUCGCAUCAAAUAUAUGUCCACAAGAAGAAGCUUGUCAACUAGCCUUCUCACUUCCUUGAUCAAGCCUGAUAGGACACUUAGUGCUUCUGAAUACUCCUUGCUUUCCAUCAAAAGAGAUGCAAGCCUGGCCUCCACUCGCUGUCGAAGGAAAGUUCGCUUCUCAGGGAAAUCUGAAGAUCAGAUGUGCCUGAUCCUCUGCUUGAUUUUCUUGCCUAAGAAGAUCCGUCGGAUUUAUUGUGAUAGCCUCUUCCUUUAUCCGUAGAGCUUCAGAAGAAGAAGAUGGGUUUCAAGAAUGCGAUAAAGAAUAGAAAUUGCUUCAGAUGGCCUCUAAAGCAUGAGCAAUUGAAUCAGUAGUUUCUGGGAGAUAUGAUGAAGACAUUGUCAAUGCUUUGAACUACACAAGUCCUGCAGAAAGAUAUGUUAAAGAAACUGAAACAACGGCGGUUUUCUGUUCUACCGUCGUCUUUUAUCGUCGUCUAUAUUAAGUUAAGAUGGCGGUAGAUUUAUAAUUACCGACGUAGAUUAUUUUGUUAAACGUCGUUAAGUGUACUACAACCGACAUGGAUUUUAAUUUUAAAUUAUAAAUAGAGUUUUUUUUCCCGUAUUCUUUCAGUUUUAGUUUUCAAUUCCAAAGCGUGAUAAAUAGAUUUUUCUUUCCCGAGGAAAUUUAAAAUGAGGGAAAUUAAUGUUCUAGAAUUUGUAAACUAACACGACGCAAUAUUUGCAAAUCAGUGUCAUCUGUUAAGAUUAUGAUGUGGAACAGAGUUCCAUCUGGUAAGAUUUCGUAACCCUUGGGAUCUCAGACAAAACUGAUUAUGUCGGCGGUGUUCUAUAUAAACCGUCGUGGUUAUUUCAAUUCUUGUCAUUAAGUAGAUCUACCGACGUAGGAUAAGAAAAUCAAAGAAAAAAAUUGUUAACAAAAAUUCUUAUUAAGACGACCGUUAAAAUUAAAGGUACGACGUAUAAAAUGAAUAAAUACGACGAUAAAUUUUAUUGUACGAUUUAAAGAUAACGUCGUAGAACUAUACGAGAAUGACGUCGAUAUAUUUAUAUUUUCCGUCGUUGUAAAUUAAUUUAAUACGGCGAUAUUUUGUAUUUUAAAGCCGUGGAUUUGUUUGUAAUUAUACGGCGUCUUAUACGAAAACCUCGUCGUGUUAUUUUAUGAGUAAAAACGGCAGUUUUUAUUGAAAUCGUCGUCUUUACUUUCUACGUCGGUCGAUUCAUAACUUCUGCCGUUCUUUGUUGGCAUUGAUUUUACACUGCGGAAAUCUGUUUCAAAUAGACGUCGGUUGUUUAAUUAUGUACGUCGUUGUUUUUGAACAGCCAUUUGAAACUCCAUUUUUUAGUUGUCUAAGGUUGUAUUACACGACGGUGUUUUUAGAACCGUCGUCUUUUUAUAAACCACGACGAUUUUCACUUAGACCGUCGUUGUUUUCUGGUCGUCUUUUUCACUUUUUGUAGUAGUGACUCUUCAGCAAUAUUUUAUCAAAAUAUCGCUAUAAUAUCGAAAAUAUCGAUGUAAUGAAAAAAAAAGAAAAAAGAAGAAGCACAAAACACACAUGCAAAGGGGAUUCAAACUCUUGCCAUUUCACUCUUUCAACGCCUUAACCACCAUGUUGCUUAUGAUUUUUUGAUAAUAUGGUAAAAUAUGUAUAUUUAUAUUCUUUUGUUUUGAACUGUUUUUGUAAGAAUCAGAUUUUCACAUGAGAAUGUGAGUCAUUGACCGUUCUUUUUGGGAUGGAAUCGAGCGGCUCACGGAAAGAAUUUAAGACCCAAAUCUUCAAAUGAUUUUGCUUAUAGACAAUGUCAAUCAAUCUCAGAUCCAUAUGGGUGACAUGUUAACAAUUACAUACAAAACUAUUUUGAGGAUUUAUCAUUUGAUGACUACUCUUCACAAUACACUUAUUCUACACAUAGAGAUGAUGAAGAUAGUGAAAAAUUUGAACUUCAUAGGAACUCUAUGUGGCACUAAGUCACUCAUGUAUCUUAGCAUGCAAGUAUAAAGUGUAAGAUAUUGUAGUAAAUUAUUAUAUAUAAAUGAUUAUGGUGUGUUUAAUCUUCUUUCAUUAAUUAUUACAUAUUUUCUAUACUCACAAUGUUCAUCAGCUUGCUAUAUAAUCAACUUAAAUCAGUUAAACCCAUCAUGCAAUGCAUUUCCUUCCAAUUUUUUGUGACUAAUAGAUAAUUGACUAAAUAAACAUCCUCCAAAGUUUCAAUAAAAUUUUCCAAGUUUUUCUUAUAAUUUACGUCGUUUUUAUUCAAUUUUCAUCGAUAUCAAUAAUAUUCAGAUAUUUCCAUCGAAUUUUCGUGUAUUUGGACUACCGAUAUUUUCGAUACCAUCGAUAUUUUAGACCUUGGGUAUAAUAUAUAUAUAUGAUAAAGAUGGACUCAUUAGAAUUCCAAGUCAUCCAACAUCGGUGGAUUAUGUUCAAUCAAAACUAGAAACUCCGAAAGCCACGAUGUCACACCAUAUGUGAAGCCAAGUCUUCAGAGGUCUAAGCCCAACCCGUGGAAGUAGGCCCAAAACCUCCUGAUGUUUUUAUGCACGUGACGAGAUCCAUCCAAGGAAAGCAGUUGAAGAAAUUGAUGUCAAUCCGGAACAUUCAUAAUGAGGAGAGAAUCAAGUGAUUAGAUUUGCAAUUCGAUAAUCUCAUUCGAAUUAAUUCCGCGGAUUUUGGAAGCUACGAAAAGAAAAUUUUUGAACGAAGUUGACCUUUUGUCAUUUGAUGGCCAACCCAUGGACUGACAGAUGCCCCUAUAUAUACCUCUUUAGAUGAAGAGCAAAGGAGACCGACAUGAGAUACAAAAACCUACUUUUUGUUUUUCACUUUUCUAUCCCUGGACUAGGUUUUUAUUUUCCAAGCAAGUAGACUAGAUUAGUUCUUCGAUUUCGUUAGUGUAAGUUUAAUUUCUUGCAUUUUCCAUUACGUUAUUUUAAGAUCCAAAUUUGUUGCUUUACUUUUAAUUGUUAUCGAUUUUUUUUUAAGUUUAAUAUAAUUUCAAAUUGCUUUAUUUUAUCAUAUUUAUCGUUCAUAUCGUUCAUAUAGUUCUUGUUUCAUUCUUACUUAAAUUUACGUUUAUUGUUGCUUCAAUCUUAUUUUUGCAUUUAUUUUCUUGUUAUUUAGUGGCUUGGUGGCUUGGUUUGCCUCAUACUAUGUAGAAGUGCAUGUACAAUUCGAUUUGAAGGGUGCAAAUUCAAGUGCAAAGAAGACACCAACGGGCACGGGUAGAGGUGGUUCAUCUGCCACAGCUGAGAAAAAAGGCGGCCAAGGUUCGGGGCUGAUGGAAAGAGAAAGAGAAGAAGAGGGAGAUGAAAGAAGAGACGUUGCCUUUCCUUCUUCCUGUAUUUGGCACGUUUUUUAAGAAAAUGUAAAUAGAUUUUUCCUCCACACAAACAUUUUUGGUAGGUCACUUGGUGAGGAACGGUAGGAUCUUCGGUUGUAGUGUUGGCUUACAGGGUUAUACUGGUGAUACUAUUGAAUUCAACUCCAAGAUUUAUCUUUUGCCUUUAGUAGCAUUUUAUUUUCAUCAAUGCACUAGAUAAUGGUUUUAGUAGAUUAACUUGUGUUUACGGUGGUUUGAUAUAGUGUGUCAGGUGACAAUUCUCACUGAGUAAUCUGAGAACCAGAGCUUCUACAAAAUCACUAACCAGUUCAUAAAAUAUGUUUGUCUUUUUCUAAUCUCACCAUGAGAAAUAUUAAUUAAUUUGCCUUAACAAAAAUAAUACAAAGUAUUGGUUUGUAUUAAACUUUGUUGGUUAAUACUUUUUUUAAUAAAAAAUUUGCUGCUGGUUAAUCUCUGGUUAAGCUUAAUAUUUAGGAGGGGUGUGUUUUCUCACACACAAAUGUCAAAGUGCCAUAAGGAUUUGAACAGAAGACUAUUAGUCUGCAAAGCAAGGUACUUUUUCACUAGUGUCCGAAUCAAAUCAUGCUUGAAGAAUACUAAUAGGGGAUUUUUCUUUCAGCUGAUAAAAGUAAAACAUCAAAGCUCAUCAUGGUGAUCGAAAACCAGAUGCAUCCAAAUUGCAAGGCAUGCCUUUCUCUUUGUGGUAGUAUAAUGAGCAUCCCUCUCAUACCCUCCAUAAUAAUCCUAAGCAUUAAUGUUGUAAAUUAGAUAAAUCCAUACAUACAUAAAACGAGCAUAAUAAGUAAUAGUAGCUAGUGGGAAUUAUAUCCCAACAAUUCAACAAGAACGAACAAAGUAGUAAUAUUCUCACUCUCAUAGCAAUACUACAAAUAGUAGGACAAAACAAUAUUGGUAAACACACGAGUGGUCCAUAUAGUUCUCCAGAAAUCCCUAAAAUAGAUCUUGCAUCUAGGUAUGCAACACCAUAUGAAGGGCCCAUACCAUAUGUGAUUAUGAACCUUUAUUUAACUACAUAUAGAUAUAGUAGUACAACAAAUAUUACUGUCCGUCUGGGAAACGGAAACCGUCAAUAUGCUACUGAUAAUAUGUCGAUAUAAUUGUCGCCAAUAAAACGUACUGACAUGUUAUCGAUACAUUUUCAGUAAUAUCGAUGCACAUAUAUUAUUUCAACAAUAUGCACAACCUUUAUUUAAUAAAGAACUGAUGGCUUGCAUAGAGAACUUCUGAGAUAUUCAUCAGAGACGUAUAUGUAAACACCAUUUUUAUUAAGGGGUGGUGGUUAUUGAAGGUGGAGAGAACGGAAAUAUGGGAGUUGAUGGGAAAUUUGGAAGUGAAGUAAUAAUAGGGGGAGGCAACCUAUAUUCUGGCCAUAAAGGUGUGGAGGUCAGAGGAGGAAACUUCAGGUUAGGGAUCUUGGGCAGCUUAUAACGAGGAAAGGUAGGGGCUAAGAGUUUUCGAGGGGCAGCGAAAGCUGAAUGUGUGCUUGAAAGUAAUGAAGCGAUGACAAAGAUAGCUAUGACAAACGAUUUCCAAGUUGCCAUCUUAGUGUGUGGAAAUAAAGCUUAUGAAAUUUGAUGUGAACGAGAAGACCAGCCUAUGGUUAUAAUUUAUAACGUUCAGAGGGAAC
rnacentral:lncRNA from 1 species